rnacentral:lncRNA from 1 species
CGCAAUUUGCCAUCAUUCAUCUGCCGUCCUGUCCAUCCAGCCGACACUUCUCCCCUGCUAACCGCUAACUGCUGCCUACUAUAUUAUUUAUCUAUUGCUACUAAUCUAUUGAGGUGAGCCCUCUCUAUUCCCUUAGCUAAAAAUACUAUUUACUAAUUUAUUUAUUAUAAGAAAAAAAAUAUACUGUUAAAUAAAUGGUUGUUAGAUUCAACAAACAAAAAGGCUGAUAUU